ensembl:lncRNA
UUCCCUCUUCUUUUUCCCCGGGCCCCGAAACGGCAAGGCAGAGGUCGCCCACUUUCCGAAGAGGCGAAGAGAACCAGGAUAUGCCCGGGCGCCUCCUCAGCGGCUAGCGAGCAUCUCGUCGUGGCUGGCGGAGGCGCGCCGCCGCCUACGGAUCCGGCUGUUACUCCAGGGGGCGCUUCCCGGGGUCCAGCAAAGGCCUGCAGCGCUAGUAUUCUAGGCGCAAGAGCGGGGGCGAGGAGGAGGAGGAGAGGCACAAAGGAGAAAGGCCGAUGCGAAGCUCUGAAUCGCAGCAGCGGCGCCGGCCCAGAGCGCGAGGACUGGAGGACCCGCCCCUGGGCCCGCCUCACGGGCUUGGCUUGGCAAGGCUGAGCGCCUCCGACGCCCAGCCUCCGUGGCCGAGCCCGGCCCUAGUACCGCCCGGAGUGGGCUGGGCGGCGGCGAGAAAAGCGCCAAACAUGGACGGAGAAGAAGAUGCUCGCGGCCCGAGCAGCCCCAAAAGGAGACGCGGCGGGAGGGGGCGCUGCCAAGUUGGAAACCCCGCCGGAGCGGUCAGACGGGCAGCCUCGGUUCCCCGUUUUGAAGUUGACUUUUCCUUACAAAUGGCUUCAUCUGCUUAGUUUAUGUUCAGUCACUGUUAAUACGAAAAAAGCAACACAAAUAAUAAGAUGAGAAAGUUGCGCAUAUUGUACGAAUAAAUUCAUUUUACAAAGACA